CCCUUCUCAUUACAGAGAUGCACAUCACCUAAUAUGCUUAAUUGGUAGUAGGCUUUCGAGCCUAUACAGCUUGGAGUAAGACAACAUGCAUAAAGAGGAUGAUGUGGUCAAAAUACUCAUUUGCCUAAUAAUUCUGCACUCCCUGUACAUUUUUGAGCUUCCUUUCUCAGAGUGGUCACAUGCUCAUCAAAUUGGAAUACAUUAUUGAGCUUCCUCUAUCAAAGAGGUCAUAAGUUCAUCAAAUUGGGAUUCAUUACUGAGUUUCUUCUAACACAGAGAUCACAUGCACAUUCAAUUGGCAAUGGUUACUGAACUACCUAUCCCAGGUCACAUGCUUAUCCAAUGCGGUACUUGUUAUUGAAUUUCCUCUGUCACAUAGGUUCAGUAUUUUUUAUUAAGCUUCCUAUUUCACAGAGAUCUCCAACUUGUAUUUGGUACUGUUCUUCGUUGAUAACAUAGGUCA